UUGUCAAAGCCUCUAACAAAGCUCUACUGAGCAGCUGUAACCUCUCAGAGAGAAGCUGUGAAGCUCUGUCCUCAGUUCUCAGCUCCCAGUCCUCUAGUCUGAGACACCUGGACCUGAGUAACAAUGACCUGCGGGAUUCAUGGGUGAAGCUCCUGUCUGCUGGACUGAAGAGUCCACACUGUACCCUGGAGACUCUCAGACUGAGCAGCUGUAACCUCUCAGAGAGAAGCUGUGAAGCUCUAUCCUCAGUUCUCAGCU